rnacentral:rRNA from 1 species
CCUCGAUGUCGGCUCAUCGCAUCCUGGGGCUGUAGUCGGUCCCAAGGGUUGGGCUGUUCGCCCAUUAAAGCGGUACGCGAGCUGGGUUCAGAACGUCGUGAGACAGUUCGGUCCCUAUCCGUCGUGGGCGUAGGAAAUUUGAGAGGAGCUGUCCUUAGUACGAGAGGACCGGGAUGGACAUACCUCUGGUGUACCAGUUGUCGUGCCAACGGCAUAGCUGGGGAGCUAUGUGUGGACGGGAUAAGUGCUGAAAGCAUCUAAGCAUGAAGCCCCCCUCAAGAUGAGAUUUCCCAACUUCGGUUAUAAGAUCCCUCAAAGAUGAUGAGGUUAAUAGGUUCGAGGUGGAAGCAUGGUGACAUGUGGAGCUGACGAAUACUAAUCGAUCGAAGACUUAAUCAAAA